rnacentral:lncRNA from 1 species
UCUUUCUUGAGGAUUUUCCUAUUAAAAAGGCAUCUUUCUUACCCAAUGGAUCUCAAGUUGUUAUAUCAGGAAGAAGAAAGUUCUUCCAUGUCUUAGACUUGGUCAAAGCAAGUGUAGAUAAAAUGGGUCCCCUAGUUGGCAGGGAAGAAAAGAGCCUGGAAAGUUUUGAGGUAUCUCCUGAUUCAGAUACAAUUGCUUUUCUUGGUAAUGAAGGAUACAUUUUGCUAGUUUCCUCCAAAACAAAGGAGCUAAUUGGGACAAUGAAAAUGAAUGGAACUGUUCGCUCAGUGGCUUUCACCAAUGACGGACAACAAUUAUUGAGCUCUGGUGGAGACGAUGAAAAUGAAUGGAACCGUUCGCUCAGUGGCUUUCACCAAUGACGGACAACAAUUAUUGAGCUCUGGUGGAGACGGGCAGAUUUACCAUUGGGAUUUGAGAACAAGAACUUGCAUUCAUAAAGGUGUUGAUGAAGGGU